UGAGAGGGCAGUGAUCUCUUAGGGAGCGCCGACCUGACACGAACAACACCUACAGUAGAGCUAUACGACAAAUCUUUUGACUUCUUCAUACAACAGGCUGGAGCAGAAAUUUCUCUCUUUGUUUCUUUUAUUUACUCUCUUUCUCUCUUUCCAUCCCUUGAUCUCUCUCUCUCUCUCUCUCUCUCUCUCUCUCUCUCUCUCUCUCUCUCUCUCUCUCUCUCUCUCUUACUCUUUCAAACUCUUACUUUCUGUUACUUACUCCCCACUUCUUUCUCUUUCUCUCUCUCUCUCUCCCUCUCUCUCUGUCUCUCCCCUCUCCCUCUCUCUUUUUUUUCUGCUUCUCUCUGUCUCUGCUUCUCUCUUGUUCAGGCGUCCUGAAAGAUCCAUUGCAGUACAUAAAAUGAGUUGUUGGUUGCAUCGACCCGUAAGUUUUACUAUAUUUAUGAAUGCAAAGGUCGAAGCUCGUAAGUGUGAACAUAGUGUAAAAUGCUGAAACAGGUCUACGUUUUGUAAAAACUUACUAUUCAGCAUCAUUGGUCAUCUUUACUAUCUCUCUUAAUCAUGUCUUGCUGAAUCGCUCUGUUACAUUAUACCUAGCUUCAUGAAGUAUCAAUGACUCUGCGCAUACCUAUUUACCCUAGGCUUUUAAUAUGUUAUUCAAUACUUAGUACUUGGACCAUUGCGAUACUCAACUUCUUGCCUUCACUCAGAUUCAACGUAAUAGAUAAAGGAUGCAUACCAGCAAUUGAAAAAUACUUGACAAAGAAAUCGUAAACAACUGGAAUAAAAUAUACAAAGUAAAGAGUUACUUGAUGACACUAACCCGUAGAUCCGAACUUGUGAGUUUUUUUAUAUGCAUACCGCAAGCUCCUAUCUACCGGUACAUGUAGUCAGGCCGGCAUUAAUUGAUUCUCAAUAUUAAUAACCUCAAAUUUAUAUGGAUUUUCAUGCCUGCGUAAGAUAAAUUAACAUCUCAAUUUUUUACCUUUUAAGAAAUGGUAUUCAUUAAAUAACAAGUGAAAUAAUUAACUAAUUUAAAAGUACUAGAGUUUUACUAAUAAAUAGAUUUAAUAAACCGAUCAGAUAGUCAAAAUGUCCUCUUUUGUCUUUCUGCAAAUUUAUAACAAACAUGACAAAAUUUAUUCUCAUGAUUUUGUUAGUCACUUAGUCACGGACUUGGCAAGUGUUUCAUCACGUUUUUUGUAA